GAUGAACGCUCGCGGCGGGCCUAAUACAUGCAAGUCGAACGGGAAAGGUGGCAACACCUUGAGAGUGGCGUACGGGUGCGUAACGCGUAUACAACCUGCCUGUUACACGGGGAUAGCCUUGCGAAAGCGAGAUUAAUACCCGAUGGUACUAUUGAGCGGCAUCGCUUGGUAGUUAAAGCUGAGGCGGUAACAGAGGGGUAUGCGUCCCAUUAGCUAGUUGGUAGUGUAACGGACUACCAAGGCGACGAUGGGUAGGGGUUCUGAGAGGAUGAUCCCCCACACUGGUACUGAGAUACGGACCAGACUCCUACGGGAGGCAGCAGUAGGGAAUAUUGGGCAAUGGACGGAAGUCUGACCCAGCCACGCCGCGUGCAGGAAGAAGGUCCUCUGGAGUGUAAACUGCUUUUCUUGGGGAAGAAAACCCUUCUGCGGAAGGAAUUGACGGUACUCAAGGAAUAAGCAUCGGCUAACUCCGUG
rnacentral:rRNA from 1 species